CGGAACCCUGGAGUCACCGGGCACCACAGUCCAGUGGCGGCUGCCCAACAGUCACUUGGCUGGAGAGAGUCAGCAGCGAUCAUGCUGUGCCACUUUCCCAGGCCGCAGCAAUAGGACCCCCCGCAGGGAAAGCACUUAGGCGCCAGUGAGAGGAUGGAUGGCUAAGUCCCCGUGCUUCAGGCCACUCACCAGGAACUGCCUGGCCUUCAGGGGCAGCACAGGGCGGGUCUCCCCAGACCCAGAGACCUGGGGACCUAAGAUGAGCGGGAGCCCAGGGCAGAUCUCCCUGGACCUGGACAUCAGACACUCAGGGCCACCGAGUCCAGGACAGGUCCAGUUAGGCCCGGCCACCACUGAGCACAAGGUUACCCGGGGCAGAAACAGCACAAACUGUGGUCAGGCAGAGCCUUGUGCUUGCUGCCGGCUGCCGGGCACUGUCCCCACAGAGCUGCACACAGGACACUGUGUCACUUCCG
rnacentral:lncRNA from 1 species